rnacentral:rRNA from 1 species
AGAGUUUGAUCAUGGCUCAGGAUGAACGCUAGCUACAGGCUUAACACAUGCAAGUCGCGGGGCAGCAUGUUACUGGCUUGCCAGUAAUGAUGGCGACCGGCGCACGGGUGAGUAUCGCGUAUCCAACCUUCCCAUAUCCACGGGAUAGCCUGCCGAAAGGCAGAUUAAUACCGUAUGUUGUCGCACGCUGGCAUCAAAAUGCGACGAAAGGCUUAGCGGAUAUGGAUGGGGAUGCGUCCGAUUAGCUUGACGGCGGGGUAACGGCCCACCGUGGCGACGAUCGGUAGGGGUUCUGAGAGGAAGGUCCCCCACAUUGGAACUGAGACACGGUCCAAACUCCUACGGGAGGCAGCAGUGAGGAAUAUUGGUCAAUGGGCGGAAGCCUGAACCAGCCAAGUAGCGUGCAGGACGACGGCCCUAUGGGUUGUAAACUGCUUUUAUGCGGGGAUAAAGUAUGGGACGUGUCCCAUUUUGCAGGUACCGCAUGAAUAAGGACCGGCUAAUUCCGUGCCAGCAGCCGCGGUAAUACGGAAGGUCCGGGCGUUAUCCGGAUUCAUUGGGUUUAAAGGGAGCGUAGGCCGCCCCUUAAGCGUGUUGUGAAAUGCCGCGGCUCAACCGUGGCACUGCAGCGCGAACUGGGGGGCUUGAGUGUGCGCGACGCAGGCGGAAUUCGUGGUGUAGCGGUGAAAUGCUUAGAUAUCACGAGGAACCCCGAUUGCGAAGGCAGCUUGCGGGAGCACUACUGACGCUGAAGCUCGAAGGCGCGGGUAUCGAACAGGAUUAGAUACCCUGGUAGUCCGCGCGGUAAACGAUGGAUGCCCGCUGUGUGCCAUUAUGGUAUGCGGCCAAGCGAAAGCGUUAAGCA